UAACUUCGAAUUCUCUAUGUGAAGAGGGU
rnacentral:sRNA from 1 species